CACCUUCAGAGAUUCUGAGUCAGUAGGUUUUGAUUUAGACAUGGGAUUCUGCAUUUCUAGCAAGUUCCAAGUGAUGCU
rnacentral:pre_miRNA from 1 species